CUGUCUGAUUCUCUUGUGGUUUUGUAAUCUGUAGCUCUUUUGUACUGACUGCGGUUUUCCAGCCCAACUGGGCUAUUUAUAACUGACAGUUGCGGGGGGGGGCGGGGUUUAGCAGUCGCAGGUUGCGCUGGUUUGUGCUAUUUUGCUUGUAGUUUCAGAAACGUCUCUCUGACAGAAUUUGCUGCUUACAUUCUAAUCUACGGAGCAGGAUCACACCAACUGAGCAUGCUCAGUAACAUCUGCUGCCUUCACUUGGAAUCAGAUUCUGCUGCCUGCUCUUAACAGAUACCGUAGAGACGAGAUAAUUAAGAAUGUGCCUGAAAAAGUAAUUCCUUGUAUGUAUCUUACUGAAUUCUGAGCCAAGUGGAACAAAGCAUUACAAUCCUACAAGCUGUUAGAAACAACUGACCAGGAAUCCAAAACGUUCCAAACUAAUUGUGUUUAUCCAGCCAGAACGGGGAGGAAUGCUCCUACAUUGAGUGGUGGAGAUAGCAUUGC